CUUGCUCUCUCCCUUGGAUCACUUGCUUGGGGGAAACAAGUUGCCAUGUUGUGAGAUGCUCAAGCAGCUGUAUGGAGGAGCCCACGUGGGAAAAAACCGAGCCCCACCCCCCAACCAAUAUUCGCUUGCCAGGAGUGUGGCAAGCCUCCCUGGAAGCAGACUCCCCAGCACCAGUCAAGCUUUCAGAGGCUGCAGCCAUGGGCAAUGGCUUUGCUGCAAUCUUAUGAGAGACUAAGCCAGAACCACCCAGCUAAGUGGCUCCCACAUUCAUGACUCACAAAAACUGUGAGGACACAUGGUGAGUAGAGGGCUUGCUGGCAAUUGGUUCACAAGCUGAGGAGGGCACAAAGGCCAGAUAUUUCGUCUGAAGAGUUCACAGGCUAUUAAAAACAUUAACAAGGUUUUACUGCCUUGCCUAGGAUGGAAAUAAUUGCUUUCAAGUGAACUGGCAUUAAAGUGAACACGUCAAGACUACCCACUUGGAAGCUACAGGAGACAGAAACAGAAAACACGACCCUGGUUCAUGUUCCAUUACUUUAAUCGCUAAACACCACUCCGUUUAAGCUAAAGAGAUAUAAUGGUACAUUUGACAGAUGCCUUCACAUCAAGAGGAGAUAGGGCCCUGAAAGUCGCAUGUUGAACCUUUCUUACCUUCUACGAGGAUGUCACUCAAAAUCUCUUCUCAAUCCCUCUUCACUGGCUGAUUACACAAUACAGAGUCAUUCCUAGUGCAACCCAACCCUCUCCCAGCUUGACAACUAUGCAGGUCCACAAAGGAAUGGAAGCUGAGAAAUGUGGAGUAACAUGUUCAAUGUCACAUGGGUUCUAAGCAGAGAAGUCAGAAUUCAAACUCAGAUUUCUGCAUCUGAAAUAAAUGCGCUUAACCCCUCUGCCUACCAUUUGAUUGAACCUUAAAUUGUAGAUGUUUGAACAUUUUGAUUGACAAGGAUGGAUUUUCAAAUGGUUUAACUGCAAACCUCUCUCCACCACACAGAAAUAAAAGUGGGAAAAGGUAGCCAUGACCCAAGGUGACCUGAGUCUGUUUUAUAGGACCAGAAAGAGCCCCAGGCUGUUUUUUCUCUUCUGCCCCACACGUUUCCAGGCUACACCCACCCACUUUUGGAUGUACUUGCACAGUUCCCUUUUUAUUCAGGAAUCUUUAGAGGGCACCAUCUGUUCACCAGACCCUGUGUGAUGCACUGGAGCCACCACCCUGAGUACAACUUAGUCCCUGACCUUGAGAAGUCCGCAUUCUUACCCUUCAGGAAACAAAGCAAGAGUAUAGAAAUUGCACGAGCACAAAAUCAUUUCAGGGAUGGAUCCAGCUGCCUUUGCACAUGUGAGAAUGGCCGUGACAACUUAGCAUACCCCCUCAAAGAGGGGGUGAAUGGAGGGCACCUGAGCCCCACUGCCUGUCCCUCCCCAUCCUGUGUCCUCUCCAGGACCUGCUGAUUGCCACUGUCUCUUCAUCCCAGAAGCUAAAGGAAGUUGCAUAGGACAUGGGGUGGAGGAAGGAAAUCAAAAGUCUAGAACCCACACAGAAUGCUGGUCAUUCUUCAUCUCUCAUUUGUCACUCUAAAAACCUGUCAUUUCACGGCUCAAGUGAAGCCACGUUUCACUGCAGUUUAUUCCCUCAGAAGCUGAAGCUCCAUGCUCUGGUUUCUAUCCCACAUACUGUAUUUAAUUUUAGCAAAAAUCCCAGUAAAUAAAAUAAUUUGGAA